CAAAUUUUCAGCGUUGUUGUUAAAUUAGGGAAAUCCCUGCCAAGGGUCUUUUUAUAUGAACUGUAAAAUUUCAUGGCAUGGCAAAGUUUCUUCACAGCUACUAAUCCUAACUAAUCCGUGAAUUAACAAUGCUCAUUGACCACAUCUCUUGGAGCCCAACCAGGGCCUUAGAAUGGACUCUGGAGACUGAAGGCCCCUGAAACAUAAGCUGUGUCAGCCUCUGGUAAAGCCACCUCUGUCUGGAAGGUUCUCACGGGGAGAGAGCUGGUCCUACCACGGGAGCUCCAGAGCAGAGAAUAGCAGCUGAAGGCCUCUCCACUGAACGCUGAAACCUCACCUUCACUGGCUGCUUUAUAAUUAGCAUUUAUAGGUCACCGUGGCUAUGAUGGCUUCUGCAAUUUUUCAGGAACUUUGGCCAGCUCCUGUGCAGUUCAAACUUGUUGGUACCACUGAUCCUUCAACUGAGCCUGCAUACAUGCCCAGUAGGUGCCUUUUGACAUCAGAGGGCCAAAAACCCCACCCUCAGAUGAUGCAAAUGUCACCAUUUUCUGUACACACAUCCUAUGAAAUGCCAUGAAUUCCAGCUAUGCUUGUGCAGAACGAACCUGUUACUUGGUUGUUCCCCACUGCCAAUCACCUUCCCCACACCUUAGACCAUCCAC
rnacentral:lncRNA from 1 species